UACGUAGGGGGCUAGCGUUGUCCGGAUUUAUUGGGCGUAAAGAGCGCGUAGGCGGCUAGGUAAGUCCGACGUGAAAUCUGGAGGCUCAACCUCCAGCGGUCGUGGGAAACUACUUGGCUAGAGUCCGGAAGAGGAGAGUGGAAUUCCUGGUGUAGCGGUGAAAUGCGCAGAUAUCAGGAAGAACACCGAUGGCGAAAGCAGCUCUCUGGGACGGUACUGACGCUGAGGCGCGAAAGCGUGGGGAGCGAACAGG
rnacentral:rRNA from 1 species